rnacentral:rRNA from 1 species
AAGCGUGGGGAUCAAACAGGAUUAGAUACCCUGGUAGUCCACGCCGUAAACGAUGAUCACUCGAUGUUGGCGAUACACAGUCAGCGUCUUAGCGAAAGUAUUAAGUGAUCCACCUGGGGAGUACGGUCGCAAGAUUGAAACUCAAAGGAAUUGACGGGGGCCCGCACAAGCGGAGGAGCAUGUGGUUUAAUUCGAUGAUACGCGAGGAACCUUACCUGGGCUUAAAUGUAGAGCGACAGCUUGUGAAAGCAGGCUUUCUUCGGACGAUCUACAAGGUGCUGCAUGGUUGUCGUCAGCUCGUGCCGUGAGGUGUCGGGUUAAGUCCCAUAACGAGCGCAACCCCUAUCUUUAGUUGCCAUCAGGUAAUGCUGGGGACUCUAAAGAAACUGCCUACGCAAGUAGUGAGGAAGGCGGGGAUGACGUCAAAUCAGCACGGCCCUUACGUCCAGGGCUACACACGUGCUACAAUGGCCGGUACAGAGGGCAGCUACCUGGUGACAGGAUGCAAAUCUCCAAAGCCGGUCUCAGUUCGGAUCGAAGUCUGAAACUCGACUUCGUGAAGUUGGAUUCGCUAGUAAUCGCGCAUCAGCCAUGGCGCGGUGAAUACGUUCCCGGGCCUUGUACACACCGCCCGUCAAGCCAUGGAAGCCGGGGGUGCCUGAAGUUGGUGACCGCAAGGAGCUACCUAGGGCAAAACCGGUGACUGGGGCUAAGUCGUAACAAGGUAGCCGUACCGGAAGGUGCGGCUG